rnacentral:rRNA from 1 species
UACGUAGGGUGCAAGCGUUGUCCGGAAUUAUUGGGCGUAAAGAGCUCGUAGGCGGUUUGUCGCGUCUGUUGUGAAAGCCCCGGGCUCAACCUGGGAAUGGCAAUGGAUACUGGCAGGCUAGAGUGCGGUAGAGGGUAGUGGAAUUCCCGGUGUAGCGGUGAAAUGCGCAGAUAUCGGGAAGAACACCCGUGGCGAAGGCGGCUCUCUGGGACGGUACUGACGCUGAGACGCGAAAGCGUGGGGAGCGAACAGG